UUUUUUUUGGUAAAAUAUGAAGUUUUUAUACCAUUUUCGAAGUUUUGAUAAAGAAUAAAAGUAGCGGAAAAAAACAAAAAGAAUUACAGAAUAUGCAGACAAUAAUAAUAAAUAAAGGAGAAAAACGAAAAAUUCAGAGUGAAAACAAGAGAAAAAACACCGAUUCCAAAGUGUUAAACUCGAAAAUAUCGGUUAAGUUUAUUGUUCAAAAGAAAUCUAUGGAUGGUACAAGCAAUAUAUAUAUUUGAUAUGCAUCAAUAAAGAUUAGACAAGAAAAAGGCGAAGUCAUGUGGUACAUAUGCUUAUUAUGACAUUAUAAAUAUAUCGAUCUGAUGAGUAACUGGC
rnacentral:sRNA from 1 species